rnacentral:rRNA from 1 species
GAACAUAUACGGGCCCAGUGAGCGGGCCAGCUCCAUUUGAAAGCUAGCCUUCCGGUUCCCAUUGUAAUUUGUAUAGAAAGAUUUGGGGAAGCCGCCUGUCUAACUUCCUUGGAACGGGACGGCUAAAGGGGGAGAAUCCCGCAUGUGACAGGAAAGGGCCCCCUAUGUAAAUCUCCUUCUACGAAUCAAGUUGUUUGGGAAUGCGGCUCUCAAUGGGAGGUAAAUUUCUUUUUUAGCUAUAUUUUGGCGAAAAACCGAUAGCGCACAAAUAAAGUGAUCGAAAAAUAAAAAGCCCUUUUUAAAAAAAAUUAAAAAACACGUGAAAUUGUUUAAAGGGAAGCGCUUGCAAUCAAACUUGUUUAAACUGUUCGGCCGGUCUUCUGACCGGUUUACUCACUUUGGACAGGCCAGCAUCAGUUUCGGCGGCCGGAUAAAGGCUCUGGGAAUGUGGCCUCCCCUUCGGUGGAGGGGUUAUAUCCCAGGGGGUAAUACGGCCGCCCGGGACUGAGGGCCGCGCUUCGGCUAGGAUGCUGGCGUAAUGGUUGUAAGCGACCCGUCUUGAAACACGGACCACA